UACCUGCGAUUCCUGCCUGGGCCUUCUUGGGUGCGGGGUAUCGCUGGUCAGCAGCGACCUAAACACCAGUGACAGUAGGGCGGGACAGAAGAGUUGGAUGGAAGUAAUACGUAACAGUGGAUGUGAGAAGACAUUUAAAUUAACAGUGACGGGAGCGUUAGACUAAGACUGAUUUUUCGGAAAAAAACUCAUGAUGGGACGCCAGUUCAUUAGCGAGCCAAUUAAUCUAUUUGCCAACACCGCUGUUAACCCGGUCAGGAAAAUGGUGUUUAUGUUCUUGGCGAUUACCUUGAUUCCACUUCUGACGUUGGGAGUACAAUUAUCAGCUUCAGGAGACGCUGCUGGUACGCUAGUGGUUUGCGAGCGUUCAUCAAGCUAUUUGAACGCCACCUGUGAAACAUGGCAGACUUUCGUGACUACUGUUACCGACCCUACCAGCGGAGAUGUGACUGAAGCAAUGUCACUCACAAACGCCCUCCCUGGACUUUGUGCGCCAAACACCAGCAGGAAUACUUUGGCAUUCUACGCCGACCUUUCGCCUUGCAUUCUCUUGGCCUCUCAAACUUCCCACACCGAACUUUGUAAAAACAUUCGAGUAACAACCUUCCUCUCCACGGCCACUUCCCCAACACCUUCCACUACAUAUCCUCGUAUCUCCAUCCAGCGCAACCGUAUCCACCAGGUCUCCUCUGUCUCUGUACAGACCUAAACCCCCCCAGUUGCAUCACCGCGUGGACCAAGAAUAGUUACGCUUACUCGCACCACACUUACAUAUGCUGCAGUUCUGGUGGAAGUACAUGAACUUGAAGCAGGACCGAUUAGCCCGAAAGGCGCAUCGUGGGAUCAUUGAACGGAUGUGGCAGCCGUGGACGAUGUUGAUCCCGUGGUGCAGGAAAUAAUGAACGCAGGCAACGGGAUUCAGAACGCUGUUGAAGUAGAAGAGCUGUUCUCUGUUCUCCGAUCGACAUUAGCACUGGAGGGUACGCAUGCAGACGCUUCGAAUGCUUCACCCCAACGCUUGUCCUACCUCUCUAUGCUACGCCCUGCCAGUGCCAGACCUCUUUAGAAACCAUAGUCGCCAUCUCCCUGACAUGCCGGACAUCUCGUAUCUGCGAAGGGCUGGGCGGGAGUCCAGCAACGGACAGGAAUAACGUCAACAGCUUUGACGUGGCCCUCCCCCGUCUGGCGCCCUCUGAUUGUUGGUGACCGUGAUGGAGGUUGGUGGGCACAUGUCCCAUUAACGCUGUUCUUUAGUAAGAAGCUAGUCCUUUUAUUUCAAUUUUAACUGCUUUUAGAGUAACUUGCACAUCGAUUUUUAAUCUUGAAACUACGUGACCUUCGUCCUGGGGCUGGUGACGUGAUGGAGGGCGGGGAGGUGACGGGCGCCUGUUCUCGCAUCUUUCUGCCUCUGUUUCUUGUUUGUCUCUGACGGCCAGAUGCUUCUUCAACUUUAGUGUCAUUCAUUUUACUUAAUUUUUAUUGCUUUUGGAGUAACUUAAACAUCGAUUUUAAAUCUUAAAACCACGGAUCUAAUGCGAAUCUUAAAAUCACAUUAAGGCUUGACACUUCAAGUGGUUUGGAAAAAAGCUACACAUACGAUAUACAAAGAUAAUCAAAGCAAGAUUUUCCUGAACAAAAUUAACAUAAAACACGCACUUUACGGACCUGACGUUCUUAUGAUAAUCUUAAUCUAUAUUCAAAUUUAAGUAGUUUUAAUCCUUAACAGAAAUUAACAGAUUUUUUUACGUAGUAAAUAUUAAUAAAGCCGUUUUCGUGAGUCCAUGGUUUUAUUAGACUAUCUGCAAAGGUUUCACAAGUUUCCCAUUAUAAAAGAUGCACUUAAAAUGGCUCAAGAUGUGCAUCAUAAAUAAGAUUUACUUAAAAUGCUUAAAAAUAUGCAUUUUAAGAUAUGCAUUUUAUUAAACUACUAAUCCGUAGGUGAAGUUACUUUGAAUAUAUCUUAGCUUAUUUAAAUUUUCGUUUAACUGGUGAUCAGUAUUCUAUCAAACUUUUUCACCAAAAAAGAAAAAAAAAAUUUAGGAUCUUCAGGGUUGUCCAAAUUGUAAAGACUAGUUCAAAUUACUCCCUUUGCUAUUUUUGUGAUAUUUUACCAAUUAACUAAUCGCUAAGCUUUCCCUUCAAUGAAACUUGGUUUAGGAUAUUAACCUCAAAGUAGUUUGUAAUGCUACACCUUUGUAACUGCCGCCUCGAGUUCAGGCUAAAAUGUUUUGUACGUAAUUGCUUACUAACAUGACUGAGGUAAUUGGUUCCUAAUAUAAAUGAGGUAAAGUGAGUCCUAGGAUAAUUUGAACUAUGUCUAAAGUGUUCGUCUGUAAUUUUUGCCAAUAAAGUACAUUAUAAACA